UGGUAAGGUAACGGCUUACCAAGGCAACGAUGCAUAGCCGACCUGAGAGGGUGAUCGGCCACACUGGAACUGAGACACGGUCCAGACUCCUACGGGAGGCAGCAGUAGGGAAUCUUCCGCAAUGGGCGAAAGCCUGACGGAGCAACGCCGCGUGAGUGAUGAAGGUCUUCGGAUCGUAAAACUCUGUUAUUAGGGAAGAACAUAUGUGUAAGUAACUGUGCACAUCUUGACGGUACCUAAUCAGAAAGCCACGGCUAACUACGUGCCAGCAGCCGCGGUAAUACGUAGGUGGCAAGCGUUAUCCGGAAUUAUUGGGCGUAAAGCGCGCGUAGGCGGUUUUUUAAGUCUGAUGUGAAAGCCCACGGCUCAACCGUGGAGGGUCAUUGGAAACUGGAAAACUUGAGUGCAGAAGAGGAAAGUGGAAUUCCAUGUGUAGCGGUGAAAUGCGCAGAGAUAUGGAGGAACACCAGUGGCGAAGGCGACUUUCUGGUCUGUAACUGACGCUGAUGUGCGAAAGCGUGGGGAUCAAACAGGAUUAGAUACCCUGGUAGUCCACGCCGUAAACGAUGAGUGCUAAGUGUUAGGGGGUUUCCGCCCCUUAGUGCUGCAGCUAACGCAUUAAGCACUCCGCCUGGGGAGUACGACCGCAAGGUUGAAACUCAAAGGA
rnacentral:rRNA from 1 species